rnacentral:rRNA from 1 species
GAUGAACGUUGGCGGCGUGCUUAACACAUGCAAGUCGAACGAAGCAUUUGCGACAGAUUUUUUCGGAAUGAAGUUGCUUAUGACUGAGUGGCGGACGGGUGAGUAACGCGUGGGUAACCUGCCUUGUACUGGGGGAUAGCAGCUGGAAACGGCUGGUAAUACCGCAUAAGCGCACAAUGUUGCAUGACAUGGUGUGAAAAACUCCGGUGGUAUAAGAUGGACCCGCGUCUGAUUAGCUAGUUGGUGAGAUAACAGCCCACCAAGGCGACGAUCAGUAGCCGACCUGAGAGGGUGACCGGCCACAUUGGGACUGAGACACGGCCCAGACUCCUACGGGAGGCAGCAGUGGGGAAUAUUGCACAAUGGAGGAAACUCUGAUGCAGCGACGCCGCGUGAGUGAAGAAGUAAUUCGUUAUGUAAAGCUCUAUCAGCAGGGAAGAUAGUGACGGUACCUGACUAAGAAGCUCCGGCUAAAUACGUG